UACGUAGGGUGCAAGCGUAAUCGGAAUUACUGGGCGUAAAGCGUGCGCAGGCGGUGAUGUAAGACAGAUGUGAAAUCCCCGGGCUCAACCUGGGAACUGCAUUUGUGACUGCAUCGCUGGAGUGCGGCAGAGGGGGAUGGAAUUCCGCGUGUAGCAGUGAAAUGCGUAGAUAUGCGGAGGAACACCGAUGGCGAAGGCAAUCCCCUGGGCCUGCACUGACGCUCAUGCACGAAAGCGUGGGGAGCAAACAGG
rnacentral:rRNA from 1 species